rnacentral:rRNA from 1 species
GACGAACGCUGGCGGCGUGCCUAAUACAUGCAAGUCGAACGCUGUGGGGACGGGUGAGUAACACGUGGGUAACCUCCCAUCAGAGGGGAUAACACUUGGAAACAGGUGCUAAACCGAUACUGAUGGAUGAACCCGCGGUGCAUUAGCUAGUUGGUGAGGUAACGGCUCACCAAGGCCCCGAUGAAUAGCCAACCUGCGAGGGGGUUCGGCGAAAUUGGGACUGAGACACGGCCCAGAAUCGUACGGGAGGCCGCAGUAGGGAAGCUUCGGCAAGGGACGAAAGUCUGACCGAGCAACGCCGCGUGAGUGAAGAAGGUUUUCGGAUCGUAAAACUCUGUUGUUAGAGAAGCGGUAUCUAACCAGAAAGCCACGGCUAGCUACGUGCCAGCCGCCGCGGUAAUAC